GAUGAACGCUGGCUACAGGCUUAACACAUGCAAGUCGAGGGGAAACGCCGGGGAAGCUUGCUUCCCCGGGCGUCGACCGGCGCACGGGUGAGUAACGCGUAUCCAACCUGCCUCUGACUGAGGGAUAACCCGUCGAAAGUCGGCCUAAUACCUCAUGGCAUCGUCUGCGGGCAUCCAACGACGAUUAAAGAUUUCAUCGGUCAGGGAUGGGGAUGCGUCUGAUUAGCUUGUUGGCGGGGUAACGGCCCACCAAGGCUACGAUCAGUAGGGGUUCUGAGAGGAAGGUCCCCCACAUUGGAACUGAGACACGGUCCAAACUCCUACGGGAGGCAGCAGUGAGGAAUAGUGGGCAAUGGGCGGGAGCCUGAACCAGCCAAGUAGCGUGCAGGAGGACGGCCCUAUGGGUUGUAAACUGCUUUUAUGCGGGGAUAAAGUGAGGGACGUGUCCUUCAUUGCAGGUACCGCAUGAAUAAGGACCGGCUAAUUCCGUG
rnacentral:rRNA from 1 species